rnacentral:rRNA from 1 species
GACGAACGCUGGCGGCGUGCUUAACACAUGCAAGUCGAACGGAAAGGCCCUGCUUGCAGGGUACUCGAGUGGCGAACGGGUGAGUAACACGUGGGUGAUCUGCCCUGCACUUCGGGAUAAGCCUGGGAAACAGGGUCUAAUACCGGAUAGGAGCCAUUUUUAGUGUGAUGGUUGGAAAGUUUUUUCGGUGUAGGAUGAGCUCGCGGCCUAUCAGCUUGUUGGUGGGGUAAUGGCCUACCAAGGCGGCGACGGGUAGCCGGCCUGAGAGGGUGGACGGCCACAUUGGGACUGAGAUACGGCCCAGACUCCUACGGGAGGCAGCAGUGGGGAAUAUUGCACAAUGGGCGCAAGCCUGAUGCAGCGACGCCGCGUGGGGGAUGACGGCCUUCGGGUUGUAAACUCCUUUCGCUAGGGACGAAGCUUUUUGUGACGGUACCUAGAUAAGAAGCACCGGCUAACUACGUG